rnacentral:rRNA from 1 species
GACGAACGCUGGCGGCGUGCCUAAUACAUGCAAGUCGAGCGGGCCUCCGGAGGUGCUUGCACCUCCGGAAGGCCAGCGGCGGACGGGUGAGUAACACGUGGGCAACCUGCCUUUGAGGCCGGGAUAACACCGGGAAACCGGUGCUAAUACCGGAUGCGUCCCCUUUCGCGCCUGCGAGAGGGGAGAAAGACGGUCUUUAAGGCCGUCGCUCAAAGAGGGGCCCGCGGCGCAUUAGCUGGUUGGUGGGGUAAGGGCCUACCAAGGCGACGAUGCGUUGCCGACGUGGGAGGGUGAUCGGCCACACUGGGACUGAGACACGGCCCAGACUCCUGCGGGAGGCAGCAGUAGGGAAUCAUCCGCAAUGGGCGAAAGCCUGACGGUGCAACGCCGCGUGAGUGAGGAAGGUUUUCGGAUCGUAAAGCUCUGUUGUGAGGGAAGAACAGCUUCCGGAGGAAAUGCCGGAGGUUUGCCGGUACCUCACCAGAAAGCCCCGGCUAACUACGUGCCAGCCGCCGCCGUAA